AUUGAACGCUGGCGGCAUGCCUUACACAUGCAAGUCGAACGGUAACAGGUCUUCGGAUGCUGACGAGUGGCGAACGGGUGAGUAAUACAUCGGAACGUGCCUAGUAGUGGGGGAUAACUACUCGAAAGAGUGGCUAAUACCGCAUGAGAUCUACGGAUGAAAGCAGGGGAUCGCAAGACCUUGUGCUACUAGAGCGGCCGAUGGCAGAUUAGGUAGUUGGUGGGAUAAAAGCUUACCAAGCCGACGAUCUGUAGCUGGACUGAGAGGACGAUCAGCCACACUGGGACUGAGACACGGCCCAGACUCCUACGGGAGGCAGCAGUGGGGAAUUUUGGACAAUGGGCGCAAGCCUGAUCCAGCAAUGCCGCGUGCAGGAUGAAGGCCUUCGGGUUGUAAACUGCCUUUGUACGGAACGAAAAGCCCCGGGUUAAUACCCUGGGGUCAUGACGGUACCGUAAGAAUAAGCACCGGCUAACUACGUGCCAGCCGCCGCCGUAA
rnacentral:rRNA from 1 species